GGAAUAAGUAGAACCUGAUUAGUUUUUUAGCUGUCCUGUGCAAAAUGUCUCUAGAGAAACAAACAAAAACACACACAUGGAUUCUGACAUACUACUGUACGAGUUAAGGAGACGAUGGUGCUCUCCUUGGUGCUCUCCUCCUCAGCUCAAUAUGUUCAACCUUAUGAGCAAUUGCUGCAGUUGGGUGUCCAAACUCCAGCAACCACUGAGGAAGAUCACAGUGCUAGUGCUUGGCUUGGACAAGGCUGGAAAAACAUCUUGUGUCAGAGGGAUGUUGAGAGUGCCCCCUGGAGAAGUGGGUCCCACCCAUGGAUGUGUCCGCACUGAGCUUAGGGUGGAGAACUACUUGGUUAACAUAUUGGAUAUGGGUGGAGCUCCAGAGGUUCGGGGGUCCUGGAGAGAGCAUUACAGUGAAGCUCACGGCAUCAUCUUUGUGCUGGACUCCAGCGACAGACAACGACUGAAAGAAGUCAAAGAAGCUCUGGUGGACUUGCUGAAGCAUCCAAGAGUAGCAGGAAAACCUCUCUUAGUGCUGGCAAAUAAACAGGACAAAAUGAAUGCUCUACUGGGAAAUGAACUGAUAGAAAUUCUCGCCCUAGAGAAGCUGGUCAACCAGAGCCGAUCCCUUUGCCACAUUGAGCCAUGUUCUGCCUCAAUGGACCUGCGUCGUUGGUCAGACAGAAAGACCCUUCGAGGUCUCCGAUGGCUACUUCGAGCCGUGUGCUUGGACUACCCAGACAUCUGUGCCCGUGUGAUGAGAGAUGGGAGGCGACCAUUAGGGCCAGAAGAAAAAGACAGGAAAGGAAAAAUAGAGAAGAGCCGGAGCAAACCUAAAGAUGAGAAAACAAGGGCAAGCAAACUAGAUAUCCGUCAAGACGAGAACACGGACAACGUGAAGAAAAAUGGGACUCUGCAACCAAUCAGAAAUAUUCUGAAUAAGGAAAACUCUUUUAAAAAGAAAUUAAGCAAAAAGAAGGUGAAGGUCAAAAUUAAAAAGGCAGGUCCAAGCAGAGGAGUUGUGAAUGAAAAAGAGGUGGAGGAGACAGAAGGGAAUGAAGCAGAUCAGGACCACAAUUGCCAGAAAGAUAAAGCCAGCAGUGCAUUGUUGCCUCUGAAACGUGGGAAGCUAAACCACAAAGCCAAAGUGAAAGAAGAGACUUUGGAUUUACCAGAAUCCCCCAACAAGGUCCCCAAACCAUCUAGAGGUACUUGGUGUAAAAAAGGGAAAAGAGGAAAAAAGGAGAAGAAAGAAGACAGUUAAAGUAAAACGAAAGAACAAGAUAAACACUGAGGACGUUCCGACCUGCUUACCCACAGCCAGUUGACCUUUCAAACACUUUCGACCUUUACCGAAAAGCAAUUUUGGCUCUCAAAGCCCGACAGGAACGGGAAAUGGUUUUGGGGCCGUGAGAAAAAAGAAACAUGGACAGCCCGUGUCAUCACAUAGAAUGAAGAUAUGUGCAUCGCAUUGACUGAAGAUGGCUUACAAACAUGCUGAAGCACUUAUCAUUGUUUUUUCCCACUGGGUCAUGUGCUCGGCCCAUUCGAAAGAUAGAGUUACUGUUAAUGUUUAGAAGUCCAGAGUCAUCAAUACUUUUGUAAUACAUGAGAGGCAGUUUUUAUAAUUGUAUUAAGAAGUCAUAUUUUAAGUGUCAUUCUGGGUGUUGGCAUCCAUUUAGAAUGUUGGAAAAAAAAACUGUACAGUCUACCCAUUAUAGUGUUCUAAGUGACUUUUGGAUUAUAACUGUAAAUGUUUUUUUUUAUGUUUUUGCAUGUGACAUAUAGAACAAGGCAGUGUGUGAUGAAACCGAUAGAUAAACAGGGUGGUUUACUAUGGGAUAUACAGUACUUGUAUGUAUUUCAAUGACUCUGUAUAAGAUUGUGUAUUCAUAUAUUGUUUACAAAAUGGGGUUUGAAUAAGACAAUGCCUACAGUACCUUGUACAUGUAUCUUAAAAAAUGUAACUCAAUUUCUUAUAAACCAAUUAAUACUUUUUAUAGGUGUGUGAGGGUUUUAUAUAUAGGCAAAAAAUGCAUGAUGGGAUACAUAUUUCAGUGCACAAUCACAAAAUAAUAUUCCCUGAUAUUGUUUUUUUUUUCUAUUAAAAAGUAAUAAACAAUGAU